rnacentral:rRNA from 1 species
GACGAACGCUGGCGGCGUGCCUAAUACAUGCAAGUAGAACGCUGAAGAGAGGAGCUUGCUCUUCUUGGAUGAGUUGCGAACGGGUGAGUAACGCGUAGGUAACCUGCCUGGUAGCGGGGGAUAACUAUUGGAAACGAUAGCUAAUACCGCAUGAUAUUAAUUAUCGCAUGAUAAUUAAUUGAAAGAUGCAAUUGCAUCACUACCAGAUGGACCUGCGUUGUAUUAGCUAGUUGGUGAGGUAACGGCUCACCAAGGCGACGAUACAUAGCCGACCUGAGAGGGUGAUCGGCCACACUGGGACUGAGACACGGCCCAGACCUCCUACGGGAGGCAGCAGUAGGGAAUCUUCGGCAAUGGGGGGAACCCUGACCGAGCAACGCCGCGUGAGUGAAGAAGGUUUUCGGAUCGUAAAGCUCUGUUGUAAGAGAAGAACGGGUGUGAGAGUGGAAAGUUCACACUGUGACGUAUCUACCAGAAA